GCUGGGGUAGCCUAGCCAGGCCAAGGCGGCGGCCUCGAGAGCCGCUGGUGCAAAAGGGCACCACAAGGGUUCAAAUCCCUUCCCCAGCG
rnacentral:tRNA from 1 species